rnacentral:sRNA from 2 species
UUAAUGACAUUGGGAUAGUAGUGAAAAGCCCACAGCCUGACGAAGGAAGUGCGAGGACUUGUAGCGGAUAGCCCGGUUCACC